rnacentral:rRNA from 1 species
ACAGAAUUGCUUAUUGCACCACAUGUGUUUUUCUUUGAAACAAACUUGCUUUGGCGGUGGGCCCAGCCUGCCGCCAGAGGUCUAAACUUACAACCAAUUUUUUAUCAACUUGUCACACCAGAUUAUUACUAAUAGUCAAAACUUUCAACAACGGAUCUCUUGGUUCUCGCAUCGAUGAAGAACGCAGCGAAAUGCGAUACGUAAUAUGAAUUGCAGAUAUUCGUGAAUCAUCGAAUCUUUGAACGCACAUUGCGCCCUCUGGUAUUCCGGAGGGCAUGCCUGUUUGAGCGUCGUUUCUCCCUCAAACCGCUGGGUUUGGUGUUGAGCAAUACGACUUGGGUUUGCUUGAAAGACGGUAGUGGUAAGGCGGGAUCGCUUUGACAAUGGCUUAGGUCUAACCAAAAACAUUGCUUGCGGCGGUAACGUCCACCACGUAUAUCUUCAAACUUUGACCUCAAAUCAGGUAGGACUACCCGCUGAACUUAAGCAUAUCAAUAAGCGGGAGGAAAGGAU